rnacentral:rRNA from 1 species
GAUCCUGGCUCAGGAUGAACGCUGGCGGCGUGCCUAAUACAUGCAAGUCGCGCGGAGAAUUAGCAAUAAGUCUUAGCGGCGAACGGGUGAGUAACGCGUUGGUGACCUGCCCCAAAGUGUGGGAUAACAGUUCGAAAGGAUUGCUAAUACCGCAUGUGAUCACAGGGAUUAGAUGCCCCGUGAUUAAAGCCGAAAGGCGCUAUGGGAGGGACCUGCGUCCCAUCAGCUAGUUGGUAGGGUAACGGCCUACCAAGGCGAUGACGGUAGGGGACCUGAGAGGGUGGCCCCCCACAAUGGAACUGAAACACGGUCCAUACACCUACGGGUGGCAGCAGUAGGGAAUAUUGCAUAAUGGGCGAAAGCCUGAUGCAGCAACGCCCGCGUGUGCGAUGAAGGCCUUCGGGUCGUAAAGCACUUUUGGAGAGGAUGAGGAAGGACAGUACUCUCUGAAUAAGCCUCGGCUAACUACGUGCCAGCAGCAGC